rnacentral:rRNA from 1 species
UUGGAGGGCAAGUCUGGUGCCAGCAGCCGCGGUAAUUCCAGCUCCAAUAGCGUAUAUUAAAGUUGUUGCAGUUAAAAAGCUCGUAGUUGUAUUUCGGGAUCAAAUUGUCGGUCGUGCCUCGGUACGCACUGGUAUUAUUGGUUCCUACCUUCUGAAGAACCGCGAUGUCAUUAAUUUGGUGUCGUGGGGAAUCAGGACUGUUACUUUGAAAAAAUUAGAGUGUUUAAAGCAGGCUUACGCUUGAAUACAUUAGCAUGGAAUAAUGAAAUAGGACGUUUGAUUCUAUUUUGUUGGUUUCUAGGAUUGACGUAAUGAUUAAUAGGGAUAGUUGGGGGCAUUAGUAUUCAAUUGUCAGAGGUGAAAUUCUUGGAUUUAUUGAAGACUAACUACUGCGAAAGCAUUUGCCAAGGAUGUUUUCAUUAAUCAAAAACGAAAGUUAGGGGAUCGAAGACGAUCAGAUACCGUCGUAGUCUUAACCAUAAACUAUGCCGACUAGGGAUCGGAUGAUGUUAAUUUUUUAAUGACUCAUUCGGCGCCUUACGGGAAAC